rnacentral:lncRNA from 8 species
GUGUUGUCUUGCAGAAGCCUUCACUCUACACAGACCCGUCCUAUUCUGCCUUCUUGCAUGGAGAGGAGGUCCAACUCACCUGCACUCUUCCAUUCCGUAUCCUCUGUAAUGCUGUGGAAUUCAUCUUCUAUCUGAAUGGAGACUCCGUCAUGAAUGUGACCGUUGGAUCCUCACAGCCCAGGGCUACUUUAACAAAGUUUAAGAUGGACGAUUCACACCAGGGCAGUUACAGCUGUCUCUACAGAACCCUCUCCAACAGCCAAGCCAUCAGCUCCCCUUACAGCAACGUUACUAAAGGUGAGGUGGUAGUUGGAAACAAGUGCUGCCUAAUCUAUAUAUUUAAGAUUCAUAGCCUUGAUAGAGAUGAGCGAUGGACUACCUUGUCCAUCAUACACACCUUUCUCAGUUUCAAGGUGUGAAAAUGGAAUCACAUUACUGUCAUAUUGCUGUUUACUUCCUUUCCAGUGGUCCUGCUACAGCCCAACAUCUCUCUCAGUCCUCCAAAUGGAGGGAUGUUUUGGGAACCUCAUGGGCCAGAGGUGAUCAGGGGCCACAGCUUCUCCAUCACCUGCUCCAUUCAGCCACAGUAUCCUGGAGGCCUCUUCUAUCUGGACUUCUCUGGGUCCAACAGAACAGAGACUACGCCAGCAGUCAACCACUCUGCCUCCUUCCACUUCCCUGUUGCGGAGUAUACAGACCAGGGGAAAUACAGCUGCAGCUAUGGAGUCAACAUCUCCACCCGGUCAUUCAGGUCGGCUAAGAAUGAACUAGCUGUCACCAUUAGAGGUAAAAUAACACAUGCUUUAAAAAAAAGUUUUUCAAAAUGGCUUUUACGUGACAUUCACCCCUAAGAGAGAAAUAUCACAGCAUUGUAACAUGAAUUAUCAUCCUUCAUCACUUUUUUUUGUUUUUAUAUCAUAUGAAUUUGCCAUCUACAAGUCUUGAUCUGUAGGUCUAAACCUUGAAAUACCUACCUUUUCCUCAGCAUUCAUGGUCCCCAUCAUUGUCUCUGGAGGGACUGGUGGGGUAGCACUCCUGUUUCUGCUUCUUCUAGUCAUCUGUCUGGUCAGCAGGAGGAGCAGAAAGCCAUCUACAGAGAUUGACCAGAGUGAAUGUAUUGACAACAGACACAACAGAGGCAAGGACAACAAAGUAGAAGAGGAGGAGGACUAUGUGAAUGUUGACAACGUCUGUGACGAGAGAAGUCUGGAGCGGGGGAAGGGUGAAAAGAAGAAUGGGAAGGAAAAAGGGCACAGCUAUGGGAAAACGGAGGAUGUCCGUUUCAAUGAGGAGGGUGAAAGGGAGGGAAACGAUGGAAGAAAGCGUGUUUGUGGUGGGUCUCAUGAGAAAAUGAAUAGUGCAGACGACGAGGAAGACAGAGACAUUAGUAUAAUCUAUGACAAUGUUGUAGCACAUGACGUGAAUGAAGACAUUUAUCAAAACUAUUAG